CCGUGUCCACCGCGUCGACACUGGAGCGGACCUUGUCGGAACUACAGACCUGUCUCCCACUCUGGCGGCUGCGGACCGGACAGACAGCCAGGGAGAGGCAAGUAUUCCCCAAAAGGCUUCCUCCCUCCUCAUCCUCCUCCCCGCGCCCUUGCUCUGCAGCUUGAGCGGCAGGGUAGGAGGGGACUUUUUUCCAGAAAGAAGUGGACAGCAAGCAAUCAAUUUUCCUCUCCGGCCAUGGUGACCAAGUCCCUGCCCGGGCCCUUUCCAGGUUCAACAGACCUGUUGCACCCAGAGAAGAGCCCCAAACCGAUCGGCGCGCCAAGAGCCCCGAGACUCUGCUUGCCAAUAUCCCGAGAGCCCAGCACCGACGGGGAAAUGUGGGAAGCUCCCAGACGCAAUUGAGUAAUCAUCUCAGUGUUCAGGGCCCCUCUUCCUACCCACUGAGAUAGCGGCAAAUAACUCACUAACCCGGGAGGGCAAUGGAGAGGCGGAAGCCCUGUCUACUGAAAACGAACAUCUAGCGCAGGUGCGUGCUAGUCUCGCCUUUCCAUCCGCCGGGUCCUUGCCUAGCGGUCAGAAUCCCGCGGUCAGGUCUCUGGAGCCCCUCCCCGGCAAAUCCGAGCUUCUAGCUUCAGCACCAGAAGCUGGACAGCGCCCUGCCCGCUGAGCGCGGGACGAUCCCUGGGACGCCGCGCAGAGGAGUGCCUGAGCUUUCCUUCUGGCCUGAAUUUUCAGUGAGAAGUAGAAAAGCUGAAUGGAUGGAGAUGGUGACCCUCUAAGUCAGAGUGAGGGCAGACCUAUUGCUACCAAAGAAGGCUUGUGGCAGGUUGAUGAUGCGGCCCCUGGAGUUGAAAGUUAUCUCAGCCCCUCAUGGCGUUGGUGUUGGGCAGGACAAACUCUCCUAUAAGCCUGGCAGCCUGCAGGAUGCCUUCACAACUGAGGAUCAAAUGUGUGACCCUUGUACUCAGCUGCAUCCCUAGCCCUCUUUUUAUUUUGAAACAAGGUCUUGCUAAGUCACUAAGUUGCCCAGGCUUAGCCUUCGAGAGUGACGACAUUACAGCAAAGCCAGUGGGCAGCCAGUUCUAUUAGAAAUCUCAUUCACACUUGAGAAGUCUGCAAAUUGGCAUCGCUCAGCAGGUGUCUGCUCCUCACGGCCGGAUGUCAGGAUGAGCAGAGCAGGGGGACAGCGGACUCAAGAGUCAGUCUCUCCUGGCAGCAUCUGGGGCUGGAGCCAGGUUCCACCCCAAAGGGUUCUAUUACAGAGAAGCCCUGGCCUUUGAAAGAGGAGCUAUUUUCACUCUAAGAGCUGGUAAGUAGCUGGGCAUGGUGGCACAUAUCAUAAUCGCCGCAAUCUGAAGGCUGAGGUAGGAAAAUCAAAAGUUCUAUUCCACUCUGGGUAACUUAGUGAGUUAGAGAGACUUUGUCUCAAAAUUUAAAGUUUUAAAAAUGGGUUGGGGGGCCAAGAAUUUAGCUCAGUGGUGCCACCACCCGCCUCGCAAGCGCAAGGUCCCAAAUUCAAUCCCAGUACCAAAAAAAUAAAAAGUAAAAAAAUAGAAAUGGGUUGGGGACAUUGCUCAGAACAAAGGCUCUGCAUGCAUUCCCCAAUACCGCAGAAAUAAAGAGUUGGUAGGUAGGCUGAGUAGCUUCCUAAAGAAGCAGGAUUAGGGGUACUGCUGUCCCCAGUGACAUGCAGUAUGGAGGCCAUCAUCACUGGGGUCUCAAACUGUUUUGCUUAAUAAUGUUCUUACCAAGAAUCUAAGUAGUGGGGCAGGGAUUUAGCUCAAUGGUGCCUUGCCUGCCUCACAAGCACAAGGUCCCCAAUUCGAUCCCCCAUACUAAAAAAAAAAGAAUCUAAGUAGUUACAAAGGUUGUAUUGAUAUCUUUAUAAAAUAUGCCAAAUAACUGCAAUGAAAUCUGAAUAGCAGAGUGAUUUGAUAUUAAUCAUAUCUUUUUUUUUUUUUUUGGUACCGGGAUCAAACUUGGGACCUUGCGCUUGUGAGGCAGGCAGUGGAACCACUGAGCUAAAUCCACGGCCCCAGUCAUAUCCAUUUUUAAGGUACAUGGAAAAAAAAAUUCUCCUUAUUGACAGUGUUGAGUUUUACCCUCAAACUGUGCUCUAACAAAACAGCAAUGGGUUUGGAAACCCUUCCCUCCCAAUGCUUUUGUGUUCUAGAAACAACUUACUACCAAGAAGCACCCUCCCCCACCCAGCUGAGAUAAAACUCCUGGAUUCCCCUCUGGGACUCCCCGUGUGACAUCUAGUCAAAGCCAGACACAGCCACUUCCCGUUUCCAUCUUUGCUCCAUGGGACCCACUAAACUGCUUGGCCCACUGAUCAAGCAGAAGAAAAUGCUCGCUCUCAUCUACUACCCAUCUCUUCUGUUCCUUCCACUUCCCACACCCACUUUUUACCAGACUCAUCCCCUAAAAAAGCAGAUGUGUGCCCCGGCAGGGGUACACAUCUGUAAUACUAGCAUUCUGAGAGGAGGAGGCUGGAGUACCACACAAGUUUGAGGUCAGCCUGAGGUGGAAUAAAAGAAAUAAAAGAGAAAGAGGAAAUCAUAACUAAACAUUGUACUUUUAAGAAGAUUCCAGCUUCUAGGACCCAGCCCAUAUUACCGAGGGUGAUCCAUAUCAGUAUUUCCUUGGUUAAAUUUAGGCUCUGGUCCUGGCAGAUCUAGCACACCCCAAAUUCCUCAGGAAUACUGAAAGUCUAUAAAUUGGAUUAAUUGAGAAAAUAAAGAGCAGAAACUUGACCCCAAAAUAAAGGAGCCGGUGGAGAAAAUUCAAAAGUGUUUAAAUUUUCUAUUAAAAAAAAACACCUGCACAUGCCUAUAGAAUGGGCUAGUACUUUUGGGGGGCACCGUUUCCCAGGGUUUCCAUCCCUGCAAGAGAAGCAUAAAUGUUCCCUGUUCCAGGAAAUAACACACCUCAUUUCUCUGAGCACCUGCACUUCAUUCUUUCUUUCUUUGUGUGUGUGUGUGUGUGUGUGUGUGUGUGUGUGUGUGCCGGGGAUCAAACUUAGGACCUCGUGCUUGCCAGGCUCCCAUUUGCCAGGCAGGCACUGUGCCACUGAGCUAAAUCCCUGGUCCUGCACUCCAUUUUUGUGUGUCCUAAAAUCUCUGCCUAAUAAACUCUUAACUUGCCUCUUACAGAAGAGUCUUGAAAAUUCUUUUUUCACAAUGCGAGUCAUCGAACCUGCACUUCUUCUACAAAAGAUUGGGUCAAGUUCCUUAUUUCAGUUUCAGGCUCUCAGACCCAGCCCAGUGACAAGCCUGGACAACUUAGUGACUUAGUGAGACCCUGCUGGGCAUUUAAUGGGUUCAACCCCAUUUUCUCUCCCCUCAAAUCAGCUCUUUGUGUAACCCUUGAGAUAUUGUAGAUUUUAUGGAUUGUUCUUCCUAUUGUGUACUCUUAGCAUCCUGCAUCACACCCUCAAAAUAACCCUUUUAAAUAAAGUCUCCCUUUACUCAAUCCGGACUAUUUUUUUACAUUCUAUGCAGCAUUCUUUACAUUUGGCUCCUGCUACAGCGUUUUAUGCAAGCUUAUUGUAUAGAACACCCUUGUGCUUUCCUGUCCCAAGAAUAUGUUGAUAAAUUUGAACUCGCUAAUUCUGAAAAUUUUUCUGUGAUCAUAAAGCUGUAAGUGUUCAUUUGUUAUGCAAUAUCAGUACCUCACUUAAAAUAAAUACACAGAAUUUUCAUUAAAAUAAAUACACAGCAUUCAUAAGAAUCUUUCAGAUUUCCGCAACAACCUCAAAUUCUUUGUCACAGGAAUGCCUCCGAAACGCUGCCACUUAUAAAAGAAAUGUACGUCUAUCUACAUGAAGAAGCAGCGGAAGCAGACAGAAGCGUUUGUAUUUUAAAUCCCCCCUUUCGGCUCAGGGGAAAUCUUUCUACAGGAAGAUCCUUGCAGGAUCUAAAACCUGCAAGGACUCAUUUACACAGGUGGCUGUGGCCCGAAAGACUUCAUCUGCAUAAUAAGGCAAUCCUGGCUUGUGGUGCCGCAGCCAGUCCCCUUAGAGCUCCGAGUAGAGCUCAGACAUUUUACCCCUCUUGGGGUUGGAUUCCUGUCCCUUAGACAGGUGAUACAACGUGUAUGUUCUUGUUCCUCUUAUUUAUUGCAUAGAACGGAUCAAAUAAAAUUAUUGAGCCUUCAGAGGGAAAACAGCAAAUCCAAGCUUCCCUACAUGAGUAAAAGAAUUUUUUAAAAUAAAGCAGAAACUGCUGUUUUCUUGUACUGGGAAUUGAACCCAGGGCCUUCGCCCUGAGCGACAUCCCCAGUCCCCCCCACCCCAAAAGGCUUUAAAAAAAGCCAAGUUC
rnacentral:lncRNA from 1 species